rnacentral:rRNA from 1 species
GACGAACGCUGGCGGCGUGCUUAACACAUGCAAGUCGAACGAAGUGGCGAACGGGUGAGUAACGCGUAAUCAACCUGCCCUUCAGAGGGGGACAACAGUUGGAAACGACUGCUCAUACCGCAUACUGAAGGAGGGGAUUGCGUCGGAUUCGCUAGUUGGAGGGGUAACGGCCCACCAAGGCGAGGAUCAGUAGCCGGUCUGAGAGGAUGGACGGCCACAUUGGGACUGAGACACGGCCCAGAAUCCUACGGGAGGGAGCAGGGGGGAAUCUUCCGCAAUGGACGAAAGGCGGACGGAGCAACGCCGCGUGAGUGAUGAAGGCCUUCGGGUUGUAAAGCUCUGUUAAGCGGGACGCGGUACCGGAAGAGAAAGCAACGGCUAACUACGUGCCAGCAGCCGCGGUAAUUC